GAGAGAGGGGGGGGGGGGAAAAAGAGUGAGAAAUAGAAGCAUGUUUUAAUCAUUUAUUUCAUUAUUCCAUGCUAGCAUGUAUUCAUAUAUACUGUACUUCCUAUCCAAUAAGGGAACUUCUAGAGGUUAAGGAAUUCUGAGUAAACCUUCUUCCUGGAUGAUUUUACUGUACAGGCCUUGAACUAUUGCUGGUGGUCAAAAUUGAUGGCCUCUUAUAUAUCAUUGAUCUUUGAGGUAGUAUUAACAGAAGGUGUUCAGGUCUUCUGAUAGUGUUAAAUGGCAGCUGUGGGGUAGGGGGUAGGGCACUCAGUGCCCCUCAGAAUAUGAAUUCUCUUUUGGAUCAGUUUAGGUGACAUUUUUUUGCUAACAUAGAGAAGUGACAUAAUAGGAAUUUAAGUGAGAUUCUGGACUGUACCUCUUGUUACUUAAAAGAAGUUCACAGUAGAUUUCCCAGGACCCCGUGGGGUCUCUGCACUGCCAACGAGAUUCUGGCUUAUUUUGUCUUUCUAUUCUGAUGUCUAUGCCAUAUGACUUUUGUCUUCAAAAUUUCCUGGUUGUCACUAACUCGGGCCACCACAUUGAUGAUCACCAAGUCUUGAAAGAAGAACUGGAAAAAGGUAUAUUUAUGUGUGUGUGUGUGUAUACACACACACACACACACACACACACACACACACACACACACACACACAUAUGUGUAAUUCAUUACUGUCCCUUCUCCUAACACACAACCUCUUUUGACAUCUCAUGGCUACUCCAUCUACAAGGGAGAAGAACAUGUUAUUUAGACGGGCAUGUUGCCAGUGCAAGGGCCGCUAAAAAAGAAGGAACAAGCGACAUUGGAUGUGACAACUGUCAACCUUUGCCACACUUUGUACUCUUUCAUCUGCUUCUCAUAAAAAGGCCAUGACAUGGGUCCUAUUAUAAGAUGCUCUUAAAUAUUAUAUUGGUAACUCACCUAUGAGAUAAAAUUCAUCCAAAGCAGACCCAAAAUAUUGAUGUGCUAAGCUGCCCUGUCUCCUGCCACCACCAAGUUGUGCUACCUCCUAGGGCUUAGGAGAUGUGUUUGGUGAAAGCCAAGGCUCUCUAUGUUAGAUAAAGGCCUACAGUGAGACAAAACACGUUAGCCCACAGACGACUGCUCAAACCUUCAGGAUUCUUUCAUAAUGUGUUUACUUAUUGGAGAGAAAGCUAUUACGAGUGGGGUUUUAUUUAGAGCUGUAAAGGAAUAUUGCUGCUCUUUGUUUGCUUUUAGGAGUUUAAAGAUCAGCUUCAGGGUCAAGCAGAUACGCGUUUCAGAUCUAUGCCUUACUGGUUGUGGUUCUGGGACGUCUCUUCUCUUUCUGUAUACACCAAGGAUGUGGUUCUUCCUUCAUGGGUUGUGGUGGGUGUUUACUACCUUGCUUGGCAGUAAACAAACACCCAGUAAAGUAGCUGUUACUAUUAUUAUUUUCCCUCACUAAGGGCAGAGUUUAUGCAGGCUACCUAUAAAUUAUAAUUUGUGAGUUUGACAUUACUUGCAAAGCUCCAGGGUGCCUAUGCCUGGUCCUGGAAUUAAUAACAGGACUUGGGAUCAGGGUCAGUGCUGUUGUCUAAGCUGAUCAGUUUGAGGCCCGUUUGUCCAUGACUUCCUUACCACCCUCAUCAGGGAGCAUGGGGCUUAGAACUUGUGUUUGUUUUUUAACUUACAAGUUUGGACUGAGGUAUUUAUAAGUAGGUUGUGCGGAGAACAGCACUUGAAAUGGUCAAGAAAUAGCGCUGAUGAUACCGAAAACCGAAACAGCAAUGUGUUGCCUCCUUUUUUUAGUAAUGGUUUCAUUAGCAGUACUUGCCGGGAAAAGGGGGCAGCUAAAGACUUAUAAGCCAGAAUCAUUUUCAGACUAGGUGUCGGUGCCCGAAAGGAGUCGAUCACUAUCCAGGAAAACUCUAUUACCGUUUAAUCCAUUAGAAAGAAUCAAGCUUUUACAGAGAAGGGAGACGAUAAUAAAUAUUCUUAAAAUCUCCUAGGAGCAGCAAAUGUUGAGGAGCUGGGAAAGAAAGGAGAGAGAAAAAAUGUUGAAAAUAAUGAGUUUUAGUACUGGAUGAGAGGUUUAUCCGCUCAGGAAAGAAAAGUGUGGGGAAAAAGUCAGCCACAUUAUCACUAUGCUGUGCUUGCGUGUGCUGGGCAUCCGGUGAUGUAACUCCUAGAUAAAUGAAGCAAUGAAACAAAUUAUCUUCAGCAAAUGGGAAGAUGGGAUCAGCGAUGAUGCCAUAGGGCAUGUGUAGGUCAUGAAGGACACGUGAUGAUAAUCAGGUUCAUGGAUUAGGUUCUGGAAAACACUGUGGCAUUUUAGCAUCGGAAUAAAAAAAAAUCCAAGGAUGUCUAGGCUCAUAAAUGCCCAUAAAUACUGUUGACAUUCUCUCUUCAAAUCAAAUGACUUGUGGGAUCCUAACAUGAAAGCCAAGAUGAAGCAUCUCUGGGGUGGGGAUGCCCAGAGCUUGGCUUGUUUGUUCAUGUCCUGAUUUCCUGGCCUCUUAGGCACUUGCUGGCAUCUUAAUCUUGUCCUAGGGGUCUUACGGGCUCUAACCAGCCCCUCAGUCCUUUGACCAAGAGCCCUGGGAGCUAGUCACAGGUUCUAGGCUUACAGAGAGCUAGUCACAGGUUCUAGGCUCACAGAGAGCUAGUCACAGGUUCUAGGCUCACAGAGAGCUAGUCACAGGUUCUAGGCUCACAGAGAGCUAGUCACAGGUUCUAGGCUUACAGAGAGCUAGUCACAGGUUCUAGGCUCACAGGGUGAGUCACGGUGAAGGGUGUUGGUUUUCAUGAAGCUUUGCAGCUGCGAAGGUCACGUCUUCAGUCAUGUGGGUUUCUGGAGAAUUCGGAAGGAGGCAAUUUCUUAAAAACAUGAUCUGGUGACAUGUUUCUCAGACUUGAUAGUCUAAUAACCCCUCCUCCAGUGCCCGUUAUAAGGGAGCCUCCCAUAUUAUUAGGGCCUCUGGUUAGUUAGUAAAUCCGAGAACUGUUGCAAAAUCCCAUCUCGACGACAAGUUAUGUUUUCCUUCAUGAGGCAGUCACCAGGACAAUUUACAAACCCUACACAACUCAUGAGGCUUGAGACUGGGCAGUUGGACCUGAUCCUUAAAUACAACCCCGGCUGCAUCCUUGAAGAGAGUAGUCCUUACCCAAGAAUCUCAGGAUAAAAAUGAAUUUCUUUUAUAAGACUCUCUUCAGCCUCGGAAAACUAAAACUGGGUAUUAGGCAAGAAAGUAACCACUGUACAUCUACCUGCCUCUUCAUGCUGCCCAACCACAGACUUUUCUUCCUGACCUAUAUCAGAUCGAGUCAAUAAUUCUAGAUUCAGAACUUUAUUUAAUAAAUGAAGAUGAAUUCCUCUCAUCUGCUCUAUCUCUCCUGAUGGAGUUGCUUUCCUAUGGAAUUUAGGCUAGCAGUAGGUUGGGUAGGUUUAAUAUGGGACUGGUGGUCAUGAGUUCUCAGGUUAGGCCAUUACACACACAGGCACAUACACACACACACACACACACACACACACACACACACAGACACACACACAUGCACAUGCAGACACACACACAUGCACAUGCAGACACACACACACACACACACACAUACACACACAUUCUGCUUUGAGGCUGCUGCUCUUUGUGAAGUGGAGGUAAUGUCCAAUGUGUGAGCCAGGAAUCUUCUUUGCUCUAACAGGUGACACAACCCUUACACCCCCCUGAGGACUACAUUCUAGAACUGUAUUCCUUGUAUACAUAACCACAUAGAUACUUCACAAGCGAUAUGUGUUUCUAGUUAUUCAGACCCACUGAAGGAAUAUCUACAACCCAGCCUCAGCUGUGGCUAUGUCCCUGUUUUUUAGAGACACCUACGGAUUCCUUAAGGAGUAGCUAGCAUUCAAGGUCAGGACAAGGGCAUAACAUCACACUUUGUCUCUUACCUAAUUACUAGCACUCAAACGUAUUCAAGGUGUUUCCUCUCAGAGGCAGCUUUAAAAAAUCCUUAAAUAGGCUGCCAGCCCAAUUGUCUAGUGGCUUUUGAAGACAGAAAUAUGCUUUGCUUAUAUAAUUUUACAAAAGCCAAUGCCAGGUUUUUCUCUCCUGUUUAAGGUUGUUGUCUUUCAGUGAGGUCUUUGGUCAAUCCCUUUCUAUCCUUGGCAUCUCUGUCUCCUCAAUAAAGCUUUCCUUGGGGGCUUUACGCCCAGGUAGUUGAAGAUGACAUCCAGGAGAAUGAUAAAGACAAAGUGAGACAGGUUUUGUAGGUAGCAGGGUCCUGGGUAUGCUCAGACAUUUAGUCUCAGUAGGCAACAAGGUAAGGCGGGUGAUAGCGACUUUUUGCUUGGCACCUGUUAUACGCCACACGUCAGUGCAUACAUAAUCUUCACAGCCCUUUUAAACAGACAGUAUUGUUCUCAUUUCACAGGUGGAGAAACUGAGGCUUACACAACUAAGUUACUUGCUGAGGGUCACACAGGUAAUAAACCACGGUAGCAAGCUUCCACGCUAGGUCUGCCAGGUCCUAAUGAGUACCACCCUGUAUCUCAGGGCAAAGGAACUUUGCAUGACACUAGACUUUUCUUCCUGUUUCAGUUGAAAUAGGUCCACCCCAGAUGGGGGUGGGCAAUGAUUUCGUCAAGGGUAGCUCUACACUGACUCAAAAAAAAAAAAAAAACAAUCACUGCAAAUUUGAGUCUCAGAAAGUGACACACAAGGUCUGGGGAGAUAGUUUGGUUGUCAAGGUUCUUGCCAUGCUAGUAUGAGUACUGAAUUUGAUCCCCAGAACUGGCAUGGUGGCAUGUGCCUCUCAUCCCAGUGCUAGGAAGCAAGAUGGGAUCCUUUGGUUAGUCAGUCUAGCUGAGUCAGUAAGUUCUAGGGCAGUGAGAGCUCCCACCUUAAAAAGAAAAACUACUCCCGUAGAUGACAUGUAGGUUGAACUCUGGCCUUCAUGUGUAUCUAUACACACAUAUUCAUCCCCGGAUCCUUCACAGACAUGCACACAUGAGGAAAAUGAAAAGAAGUUAACACUUGAGACUGAGUCUAGAUGGGGCUGUUCUUCUCCUAGGCUAAUCACCCAAGGGCAGACAGCAGUUGGGGCAACAUCCCGAGGGUCUAUCACUUUGAGUAUCUUGACUGAGACUCAUUCUCUUACUCAUACUUAUGAUAAGGCCCAAGCCAUUGACCCCGGGUCAGUCUCUAGCCGGAGAGAGAACUGCCUGUCACGCCUCUUGCCUCUCUUCUCUCCAUACCGUCCCCAGAGACAGCUUGCUGCCCAUUCAAGCCUUACUGAAUCAGGUGGAAGCAGAAGUCAGAACACUGCAGUUCUGAAACGGAUAUAGCUUCAUCACAGUUUGCAAUUCGAGAUUUGCUUAUGUGAUUAUUUUAUUAAAGUCUGCGUAUCCCACCUGAGUAGCUGGCAAGUUCCCCGAGGGCCAGGACCUAGUCUGAUCCGCUCAACAAGUAUCUGCCAGAUAAAUGGUCUACCAGAUGUCUCUUGGUCUUGACCCAGGAUCAGAGACGUGGUAUAUCUGAGAUAGGAACCCUUUCUGCUCUGAUGACCCUAGUUUCUAUAAAAGGCAGGCAGAUGCAGCUGGUUUCUCAGGUGGACUUAGCUGCUGUCAUUUCAGUAGAAAAAUACCCAAAAUAAAACCUUGCCAGGAAUUGAGUCUCUCAGUUCUUGUCACUCCUCAUGUGAGCAGACUUUUGACAAGUUUCUUGUGGAGGGCUCUGUCACCUGGAAACCACCAUUUUUUUUUUUUUUUGGAGAAUUGGUCAUCAAGAGAGACAGGUCACAUGGUUCAAGCCAAUAUUCCAACUAGAGGAAGGAAGGCUAGGAUUGACUCCAGGACCUUUAGGUGACUGACCUUCAAUGCUACAUAGAGAGAAAAAUGGGGCAGUUAGUGACAAGAGGAGGGUGUGUGGUGAGGAAAAAAUGGGCUAUGUUGGGAUCAGGUCUUGAUUUGCUUGAUGACACUGUUCCUGAUAAAUGCAGCCAUUGGACAAUCCAUUGAACAUAUCGAAGGCGUCACCCUCUUCAUCACUCGAAGAAGGGGAGGAGAGUAUCAACUAUAUCUCUUGUUUGUUUCAGAGGUUGUAGUGCAGCCCCCCAUAACAUUGUUUCUGUCAGAGGCUCUGAGAACCACACCACAGAACUUCAUGAAAAUGUAGGUGAGAAUUUCAGGGUUUCCGGGAGUUCAGAUUAUGACCUGGAAACACACAGACUACUGCGCCCCCCUUCAUUCAGCAUCAAGUAGGUGUGCAUACAAAGAUGUCUGCCACAGCUUUCUGUACCUGGCUAUUCCACAGUGGGUUUGGAAAGAGGGUGGACAGGUGGCGUGGAAGGCACAGUGGGCACCAAGUGUGCGGUGGUGUUAGUGAAGAGAAAUUGAGGAAACCUCGCCACCCAGAAGACUCCAUGCCAGAGGCCCCUGACUGACUUUGCCUGAGGUCAUGGGGUGGGCUACCUGUAAUUCAAAGUCUCCAUGAAGAAGCACCCUAGGCAGAAGCUGGUAUGAACAUAAAUGGGUUUUCUUUUUCCAUCUAAUGCAAUGAGAGGAACGCCUGUCGGGGUCACGCUUGGUGGCCCAUGCUGUGGUCUCUAUGACUUUCUUGAGACAGCAUGUUGUCCUUAUUGGAUAACUUUGGUCUGAGGUCUGGCGUCCUUGACCACAGUCACCUUAGAUUGCAUCAGACAGCACCAGGUGGCUACUCAUCACCUGUGUUGUUUCCCAGGGGCCUUUUUCCCUCUCCAAGUUUGAGGGCUUUCUUAGUGACUCCUCCUCCUUUCCCCAGUGGGCUCACCUGUGGCUGAUGACUGGACACUGCAGGACCAAUGGGGAAGGAACGUGGUUUCUUGGGGGUGGGGUCGUCUCAGGGAGUGCAAGAAAACCACUGAUUGCUUCCUCUUCUCUGACUUAGCCAGACCCAACCACCAUUUUUGGGAUCUCAUGAUAGAGACCUCUCAUUGUUUGCUCCCUGGCUGCACUAGCAGCCUUACAAGCAAUAUCAUAUCAUAACUCAAGUAUAGUUCUACCUAUCUUCUCUCAGAUCUUCUAGAUAACUUUUAUACAGUCAUGUCCCCGGCCCUUGCCCCUUUUCACACUCUCUAUUUUCCUUUCCGUCUUGAAUAUGACAUAGAUUGCUAGAAUGUAUAAAUGGAAUGUUUAUUGUUCUCCUCUGUGGACUCUCCUGGUUCAAGCAUUAGUGACUAGAAAGCCCACAUUUACAUAUACACAGCAACGCUUUGUUGGCUUACAUUUUUUUUUUAAAAAAGGAAAUUUUGUGUGAAUUGGGAGGGAAAAUCUUUCUGUAGUAUGUCAAGUCCCUCUGACCAAAGAACAAAGUCUUUCUUCCUGUUUAGAAAAAAAAAAAUCAGCCAUUGUCCAUAAAUGAAAACAGCGACUUUGAAAACUUCGGUGGUGAGCUUCACGCUAAGAAGAGCACCUGCAGUCGCGUUUCAGUAGGGGCUGUGAACGAGCCCGUGGCCUACCCGAUCUCAGGCUUCCCAGAAGACCUCAGCUGUCUCGGGCCACCAAGACAAACAAGACUCUUCACGUUAAAGUGUCAGCAACUUUUCAGAGUUUGUUUUCAGUAGAAGCUAGGGCAAGUCCGCUAGCCCCAGGCUUGCAGUCCUAUUGUUGAAUUAUUUGUUUUGGUUUUGCUACAAACACAGAGAGAGCAUGAGUUGUCCUUCACCUUAAUGAGCUCUGUUUUCUUUUGGAUGAUAUUGAACACCAGCAGCGAAAGAAAACAUUCACAGUGGUCGUUGGGAGUGAUUCAGACAGCGCCUUAAGUGAUAGUGUGUGUCCUGUGACCUUCCAUCUAGGUGGCUUUUAUCUUUCCAAGUGGCCGCCGUGGCUGUAGCCUUGAGGUUCAACUUUCCAACUGAAGCCUGAACCGCCUGUCAGGCUGGGACAGAAAUGUUCCUAUAGCUGUGAAGACGCCUGUUCUAUGGCUCCCUGGUGGUGUAAAUUCGUGUUUGACCUAUAUAUUACAGAGUUUUUAGGCAGAGCUCUUAAUUGUCCAGUCUGCUGCUUGGCCUGGCGACCCAAGGGGAAUCUCAAUGGCGGAGGCAAGGAUUUUUUCUCAGGCAGCACCUAUCCCACAUGGGUUCUUUAAAAGCUAUACUGAAAGACAGGUUACUGACGACUAAGACCUGGCGACUGGCUCUUUAGUUGAGUAGUACGUGCGCUGUGGUUUGCAUAAGAUUAUUAAAUAAAUAGGUGCUGAUGAUUUUGCAUAUUUCCUUAGUGAGAUUUUAUUGUGCUGUCAUUGAGAAAACCAGAGUGCCAUGCUUAUGUAGCUCAGCAGAAACCUGUAUUCUCUCAGCUUGGUGGAGCGUGAGCAUUGGUGCCAGUGUGCAUCCGGGGACUGUGGGAUGUGACUUGUUGGCUUCAAACUACCGUGCUGUGCACCUCCAGGUGGAAUGGCAGCCGCAGGACUCUUCUUUUUGUGACGUGUAGUGGUCUGGGUGUGUGUGUGGCAGGGGAAGCGCAACACCCCCUGCUGACUGUUCACACUA